GAUGAACGCUGGCGGCGUGCCUAACACAUGCAAGUCGAGCGAACGGACGAGAAGCUUGCUCUUCUGAUGUUAGCGGCGGACGGGUGAGUAACACGUGGAUAACCUACCUCUAAGACUGGGAUAAUUACGGGAAAACGGAGCUACUACCGGCUAAUAUUUUGAACCGCUUGGUUCAAAAGUGAAAGAAGCUUUUGGCGUCAGUUAUAGACGAAUCCGGCCUGAAUUAGCUAGUUGGUAAGGUAACGGCUUACCAAGGCUACGAUGCAUAGCCGACCUGAGAGGGUGAUCGGCCAGACUGGAACUGAGACACGGUCCAGACUCCUACGGGAGGCAGCAGUGGGGAAUCUUCCGCAAUGGGCGAAAGCCUGACGGAGCAACGCCGCGUGAGUGAUGAAGGUCUUCGGGUCGUAAAACUCUGUUGUUAGGGAAGAACAGAUGUGUAAUUAACUGUGCACAUCUUGACGGUACCUAAUCAGAAAGCCACGGCUAACUACGUG
rnacentral:rRNA from 1 species